rnacentral:rRNA from 1 species
CCUACGGGAGGCAGCAGUGAGGAAUAUUGGUCAAUGGACGGAAGUCUGAACCAGCCAUGCCGCGUGCAGGAAGACGGCUCUAUGAGUUGUAAACUGCUUUUGUACAAGGGUAAACCUGAAUACGUGUAUUCAGCUGAAAGUACUGUACGAAUAAGGAUCGGCUAACUCCGUGCCAGCAGCCGCGGUAAUACGGAGGAUCCAAGCGUUAUCCGGAUUUAUUGGGUUUAACGGGUGCGUAGGCGGAUUGAUAAGUUAGAGGUGAAAUGUCCGAGCUUAACUCGGGAACUGCCUCUAAUACUGUUGAUCUAGAGAGUAGAUGCGGUAGGCGGAAUGUAUGGUGUAGCGGUGAAAGGCUUAGAGAUCAUACAGAACACCGAUUGCGAAGGCAGCUUACCAAUCUAUAUCUGACGUUGAGGCACGAAAGCGUGGGGAGCAAACAGGAUUAGAUACCCUGGUAGUC